CAGUCGCCGCGGGAAUACAGAGGGUGCGAGCGUUAAUCGGAUUUACUGGGCGUAAAGCGUGCGUAGGCGGCUUCUUAAGUCGGAUGUGAAAUCCCUGAGCUUAACUUAGGAAUUGCAUUCGAUACUGGGAAGCUAGAGUAUGGGAGAGGAUGGUAGAAUUCCAGGUGUAGCGGUGAAAUGCGUAGAGAUCUGGAGGAAUACCGAUGGCGAAGGCAGCCAUCUGGCCUAAUACUGACGCUGAGGUACGAAAGCAUGGGGAGCAAACAGGAUUAAAUACCCCUGUCCCUGUCUCUUAUACACA
rnacentral:rRNA from 1 species